CCGGGCGGAACUAGCGCGGUGGUCCCACCUGACCCCUUCCCUUAAGCAUUUGUUAACCGCCGUAGCGCCGAUGGUAGUGUGGGGUCUCCCCAUGCGAGAGUAGGGAACUGCCAGGC
rnacentral:rRNA from 1 species